ensembl:lncRNA
CUUUAUGAGGUGCAACCAAAACAGCUGUUAGACAUUGCAACAGGGAUAUUCUGGCAGGGUGUCUGUCUAGCAUUAGUUCUGAAUACGAUUGUGGUUUUGAUCACUAAAAUGGCUGUGACUUUUGGACUCUCUUUGAGUGUUUCUUGGAUUUGUUGCCUGCUAAUUGGUGGGAUAACGUGUUUUACCCUUCAAGGUGCUUAUGGGCAUCCUGCCUCCACUGGAGCCCAAGCGAGUGUGGUGUCUGUUCCAAAUGCUAAAGCUACUGGCCACAAUAGCUCGGCAAAUGUGACGUCGGGUCGAAAUGCCUCAGCAGGAGCGACCGGCCCCCGCGCCUCAGCAGGAGCGACCGGCCCCCGCGCCUCAGCAGAAGCGACCUGCGCCUCAGCAGAAGCAUCUGGCCCCCGCGCCUCAGCAGAAGCGACCGGCCCCCGCGCCUCAGCAGAAGCGACCGGCCCCCGCGCCUCAGCAGAAGCGACCCGCGCCUCAGCAGAAGCAUCUGGCCCCCGCGCCUCAGCAGAAGCGACCGCGCC